rnacentral:rRNA from 1 species
AGUGAACGCUGGCGGUAGGCCUAACACAUGCAAGUCGAACGGCAGCACAGUAGGAGCUUGUUCUUACGGGUGGCGAGUGGCGGACGGGUGAGGAAUACAUCGGAAUCUACUUUUUCGUGGGGGAUAACGUAGGGAAACUUACGCUAAUACCGCAUACGACCUACGGGUGAAAGCAGGGGAUCUUCGGACCUUGCGCGAUUGAAUGAGCCGAUGUCGGAUUAGCUAGUUGGCGGGGUAAAGGCCCACCAAGGCGACGAUCCGUAGCUGGUCUGAGAGGAUGAUCAGCCACACUGGAACUGAGACACGGUCCAGACUCCUACGGGAGGCAGCAGUGGGGAAUAUUGGACAAAGGGCGCAAGCCUGAUCCAGCCAUACCGCGUGGGUGAAGAAGGCCUUCGGGUUGUAAAGCCCUUUUGUUGGGAAAGAAAAGCAGCAGGUUAAUACCCCGCUGUUCUGACGGUACCCAAAGAAUAAGCACCGGCUAACUUCGUG